rnacentral:rRNA from 1 species
UACGUAGGGGGCAAGCGUUGUCCGGAUUUAUUGGGCGUAAAGAGCGUGUAGGCGGCCAGACAGGUCCGUUGUGAAAACUCGAGGCUCAACCUCGAGAUGUCGAUGGAAACCGUCUGGCUAGAGUCCGGAAGAGGAGUGUGGAAUUCCUGGUGUAGCGGUGAAAUGCGUAGAUAUCGAGAGGAACACCUGCGGCGAAGGCGGGUAGCUGGGCCGACACUGACGCUGAGGCGCGAAAGCCAGGGGAGCGAACGGG